rnacentral:rRNA from 1 species
UACAGAGGGUGCGAGCGUUAAUCGGAGUUACUGGGCGUAAAGGGCGCGUAGGCGGUUAUUUAAGUUAGAUGUGAAAUCCCUGGGCUUAACCUAGGAACUGCAACUAAGACUGGAUAGCUGGAGUACUGUAGAGGGUAGUGGAAUUUCCGGUGUAGCGGUGAAAUGCGUAGAGAUCGGAAGGAACACCAGUGGCGAAGGCGGCUACCUGGACAGAUACUGACGCUGAGGCGCGAAAGCGUGGGGAGCAAACAGG